AGAUCAGGCAUGGGAUAUGCUUAGAAUCUCAGUACUCCGGAGUUGCAGGCAGGAGAAUCAGAAGUUCAAGGCCACCUCUGCUACAGUGUGAACUAUCUGAGACCUUGUCAUGACAUCUUGUUGCAGAACCCAGGCUGUUACCCCCAUCAUCAGAAGCAUCUGUGACCCAUCGCUAACUGGUCUUGUUGCUGGAGGAUCUGCUGGGAGGGUCAUUUAGACCUGUCUCUGACUCACUGCGGCUCACGGCCAGGUGCUGGCCUUGAACUCAGAGAUCUGCCUGACUUUGCCUCCAGGGAUCAAAGGAAAAGUUUAAUGAAAUAGACCCUGUCCAAAAAAAGAGAAAAGAAGAGAAAAGAAGAGAAGAGAAAAGAAAAGAAAGAAAGGGGGAAGGAAGAAAAGAAAGAAAGAGGUGGGGCAUAGAAAAGCAGUCUAGAGACAGGACACUAUGAUGCGUGAAUAGCAAUGUGGUUCUAGACAAGGAAUGAGGUGACUGACACCCAGGGUCUGAUGCCUGGGUGCAGCCCUGGUUCCUGGGCUCUCUGGGAGUGAGCCCACUAUUAAUGCUGCUUUGCUUGGCUGUGGCUGACAUGUUCCUGUACCUCUUUGGAGCCACCGGAGACCUUCAACAUGUGGUCAACAUACUCCCUGGCCUUGUCGUGGUGGCCCAUGAACCAGAGGAAGAGGCUGGCGUAGUACAGGGCAGUGUCGCUGGCCAUCCUGCGCAUUUCCUUCAAGCUACACUCC